rnacentral:tRNA from 1 species
GGGCCAGUAGCUUAGCCUGGUGGAGCGCGCGUCUUAUAAGGCGUCGUUUCGUACACUCGCUUAAGAAAGCGCGAGGUCCCGAGUUCAAAUCUCGGCUGGCCCA